GAUGAACGCUGGCGGCGUGCCUAAUACAUGCAAGUCGAGCGAACAGAUGAGGAGCUUGCUCCUCUGACGUUAGCGGCGGACGGGGGAGUAACACGUGGAUAACCUACCUAUAAGACUGGGAUAACUUCGGGAAACCGGAGCUAAUACCGGAUAAUAUAUUGAACCGCAUGGUUCAAUAGUGAAAGACGGUUUUGCUGUCACUUAUAGAUGGAUCCGCGCCGCAUUAGCUAGUUGGUAAGGUAACGGCUUACCAAGGCAACGAUGCGUAGCCGACCGGAGAGGGUGAUCGGCCACACUGGAACUGAGACACGGUCCAGACUCCUACGGGAGGCAGCAGUAGGGAAUCUUCCGCAAAGGGCGAAAGCCUGACGGAGCAACGCCGCGUGAGUGAUGAAGGUCUUCGGAUCGUAAAACUCUGUUAUUAGGGAAGAACAAAUGUGUAAGUAACUAUGCACGUCUUGACGGUACCUAAUCAGAAAGCCACGGCUAACUACGUG
rnacentral:rRNA from 1 species